UAAUAAAUAAAAACCCCAAUAGAAAAGCGUCAAUCAUACGCAGCACUCGAUUACCAAAGCCGUGUGUCCUCUGCAUAUUCUGUCCCUUUUCUGCCGCUGCUGCUCGUUUUCUCUUCCGCGUCGCUUCUUCGCCUUUUCUAGAUCUCCGGAUUCGCGCCUGAUAUGUCUUCCUCCAAGCCCGCCGGAUCCAUCCAUGACUUCACCGUCAAGUUUGGUGGCCCACGGGAUUUAUGUUUUCUAUCGUCAUCGUGUGCUCCGUUUCCUUGUCUUUUUAGUGUGCUGACGGUGGCUCCUUUCGAAGAUCGAUUUUUUAGACUGAGUCGGCUGUUCGAUUUGGAGGAUUGCUCGAAAGAUGGGAUUUUGACAAGGGAUUGGUUGUUUUUAUCGUUGGUUUUGUUUUAAUUUGUCUUCCGGAGUCGGCAAGGAGGUUUAUUUUUGAAGAUCCACUGCCCUGUAGUUGUGGAUUUCUUGUGAUUAGGUCUUUCUUUGUGAUUGUUCUUGGUUCUAGGGAUGGAUCGAGUUUACCGUGGUUGUCGAUUCUUGGAACAUCUUUAAUCUUUUGUGAUGAUAUGCAACUUGAUGUAGUUUUUGAUGGUCAUUGGUUUCUUGUUCGGAACGAAUUCUUGAAGGAGUGUGGGGGAAGAAAACUUUUUCUCUGCGAGUGUGGGUGGUGAUGAUUGAUGAUGAUGAUCAUCUGUUGUAUGGCUUCCGAUGCAGGAUGCCAGGGGAAAUGAUGUGGAUCUUAGCAUUUAAAAAGGGAAGGUCUUGCUGAUUGUCAAUGUUGCAUCUCAAUGUGGGCUGACUAACUCAAACAACAUGGAACUGACUCAGCUAUAUGAGAAGUAAAAGGACAAAGAUUUUGAGAUUCUGGCUUUUCCAUGCAACCAAUUUGCUGGGCAAGAACCAAUGAGGAGAUUGUUGAGUUUGCUUGCACUCGAUUCAAAGCUGAAUAUCCGAUAUUUGACAAGGGAUCAACAUCAACCAUUGCAUUCCGAUCUCGGGCCAAUGCAUAUUGACAAACCAAACACCAGCAUUCAUCAUUCGAUAGUCCCUCCAAAUGGUAAGGGGGUGAGGUUGCCAUGAAGUUAGCAUCUUCUUCGAUUCUGGUGGUCACUAUUAUUUUACUUCCUUGAGCACCGGAGUACAAGAAGUUUUUUAUCCUCUCCCAGUCCUGUGGGCUCAUAUGCCAAACAUCAUCCAGAACAAGCAGACUCAUCAUUGCAGACUAGUCGAGAAAGAGAGAGUCGUCUUCCCGAUACCAGGCAUCCCAAAGAAAGGAAUCACUGUGAUGCUACGGUCAGUCACCUCAGCCAAUGGCAGCAACAUAUUUUUUAUCUUUCGCAUAUCACUCUCACGACCGAGAACCAGGGAAGGAGUUAGCGAGGUGGUCUGAUAACUCUGCUGCCUCAGGGGUGCACUGCGCUGAGUCAAUUCAGAUAAGGGGCAUCUCCUUGCUAUGGAAUCUAGUCUGUGUUCUCUGUCCUUUACCCUGAUGCAUAUUUCUCGAUUGAACAGUUCGCGCUUAGGGUUUAUGGGGGCCAAGAAAUUGCGCACCGAAGCAUAUUUGAUCAGCUGACGGCGUUGGCGUUCGGUUGCCACCUCGUCCAAGAUAUCAUUUGCAUCAUAUGCAGCCUGGCUGAGCUCAUUCAGCAAAUGCUUCACCGCGUUCCUAAUCUGUUGCCUCUCCUCUGCAUCAUUCAGUACAGCUUGAAUCAUGGCGACGGAGCUCUGCAGCUUUUUUAGUUCAGCAUCAAGGCCCUAGGCUGUUUGCCGUUCCUGCCACAGUUGAACCAAAUUGGAAGCCAACAGUGGUAUGACACCCGAGUGAAGCUCCAUUGAGGAACGUUUCUGAGAAGCUUCUGAAAAAGAAAAAGAUACAAGAUAACUGAGAAAAAAGAUUUAGGGCUUUUGUUAGAACUGUUGUAUGACAGCCAACAGAAUUCUGGGCUUGUGAGGAGAUGGUAGCUGAGCAAUCACACAUUGUGAAGGUGUGGUUAGAACUGCUUUGCCAUUAAGAUGGAGUUUUGGAGUGCUAUUUUACAGAGUGCUCAGAUUGCCAUUAGCUGAGCAAUCUCCUUGAAUCUUUAUCAUAUAAGGGAGUGCUCAGAGUGUCGCGAUGCUGGUACUAAGGGUUAACUGGUCUAUCAAUUUUAUUAAAUUCAAAUUAUUUAUCAAAAUAUUUAAAUAAAAUUUAUAUUAGUACUUCCAUUAAUCUCUGUAAGUCUAUCUUAGUCUUGUCUAAUUCCGACGUGGGAUUAAUAGGGAUAUUACAAGCUCCCGCACUUAAGUCUUAGAUGAUCAUGUUUUUCUUCCUUUUAGUUAGCAAGUUCUUUGAAGAUAAAAGGAAACAGAAAAUUGAGUUUGAUAGCGUUUUAGAAUGCAGGGACUUGAGAAAAGAGGAAUGGUGGCAACAGAUUCUGAUCACAACCUAAGAUUCAGAGAUGAUGCAACCUUGCUGUUGCAAUUGUAGAUGAGCAACUUGCUGCUUUUGUUCGCAAUCGUCAGUCUUCCUUGGUCUUUCAAUAUGGUCUUUCUAUUGAACAGUAUAAGGAAGCAACUUGGCUUUGUUAGCUGGAAUUUAAGGUCUUCCUUCCUCUUGUUCUGCUCGGUUGCAUUGUCAUGUCAAUUUCCAGGAGAGUUUCCCAGCGACUGCUGAUCGCUAUCUUUUUGGUGACAACAAAUCUUGUCUUUCUCUUAUUCGUGUUAAUAAUGGUUGUCUGAUAGCUACAAAUUUCUCCUAUUUAGCAGUUCUCAGGAAAUUCUCAAAACCUUCACAUUCAAGAAGAUGCUGGAGUCUUUAGAUGAAAGCUAUUCCAACUUUGGGACUCGUCAAAAUCAGAAGUCAUAGUUGACUGACUUGAGGAUAGACAACAAUAUGAAAUGAAGAACAAGUGCAUGAUAUUGGCAGACAGCCUAAUCGUUGAAGGUUUCUUGGUCUACUCUUUGAAUCCGUCAGUUGAGUAGUUUCAGACUAACGGAGGAUGAUCCAAACAGGGCAUGGUAAUAAUAUUUUGUGUAUUGCAAGCUGUCGACCGCAGAUUUGUCAUGAUUAAUCUUAAGAUAAGCUGCGUAUUUUUAUUAUCUGUAAUCUAAGAUAAUUGUGUUGGUGUGAGAUGAUCCACUUUGAUCAUGUAUACAAUUUUCCUCCCAAUUGAUGGAAUCAUGGUUGUGGUAAUAA